AGUUGGUUAGCUCAGUUGGUAUAGUGCUUCGCUGGAAAUGAAGAGGUCCCUGGUUCGAUACCAGGACCAGCAG
rnacentral:tRNA from 2 species